rnacentral:rRNA from 1 species
UACAGAGGUCUCAAGCGUUGUUCGGAUUCAUUGGGCGUAAAGGGUGCGUAGGCGGCGCGGUAAGUCGGGUGUGAAAUCUUGGAGCUUAACUCCGAAACUGCAUUCGAUACUGCCGUGCUUGAGGACUGGAGAGGAGACUGGAAUUUACGGUGUAGCGGUGAAAUGCGUAGAUAUCGUAAGGAAGACCAGUGGCGGAGGCGGGUCUCUGGACAGUUCCUGACGCUGAGGCACGAAGGUCAGGGGAGCAAACGGG